AUACGUAGGGGGCGAGCGUUGUCCGGAAUGAUUGGGCGUAAAGGGCGCGUAGGCGGCCCGGUAAGUCUGGAGUGAAAGUCCUGCUUUUAAGGUGGGAAUUGCUUUGGAUACUGUCGGGCUUGAGUGCAGGAGAGUUAAGUGGAAUUCCCAGUGUAGCGGUGAAAUGCGUAGAGAUUGGGAGGAACACCCGUGGCUAAGGCGACUUACUGGACUGUAACUGACGCUGAUGCGCGAAAGUGUGGGGAGCAAACAGGAUUAGAUUCCCUGGUAGUCCACACUGUAAACGAUGAGUGCUAGGUGUAGGGGGUAUCGACCCCGUGUGUGGCGCAGUUAACACAAGAAGCAUUCCGCCUGGGGAGUACUGGUGCAAUGUUGAUUCUCAAAGGAAUUGACGAGG
rnacentral:rRNA from 1 species